rnacentral:lncRNA from 1 species
UCGAGUGCUAAUUACAGGAAAUCACAUGUCCGGCUCACUGAGAGUGUGGUGUCUCUUGCAGAUGUAGACGUUGUUAAUCCUGAUGAAAAGUCAAUCAUGACGUAUGUGGCACAGUUUCUGCAGUAUUCCAAGAACAAACCUGCCUUUGGAAGCAGAGCUCAGGGCAAGGUGGAAGAUGCAAUGGCCUGGCUCACCCUGCAAGAGAAGAAACUACAGCAGGUGCAAAAGGACACAGAAAAUGAGACCUACUUUAAUAAAUAUCAUGUAAGUACGAUAUUGAACACCUUUUAUUGUUUAUUCUUUUAGGGAGGAGUAGUAAACACAUUUUUGGAAAACUCUUUUGCAGUUAAUUUUUCUUUUUUUUUUUUUGUCUUUUUGAGACAGGGUCUCGCUGUGUAGUUCAGGCUGUUCCUGAGCUCACUUUGUAGCCCAGGCUGGUCUCAAAU